rnacentral:lncRNA from 1 species
CUUGAAAAAAAGAUUUUUUCAGAUGAGGGAACAUUUUCCAGUCAAUCACCCUGCAGCAAAGUCAUCCUGUUGAAUUUGUGACUCACAGCCUCUCUGUGUCAAUAGACAGAGUCAGCCCAGAGUUAUGACUUCACAGAAAGAUGAAGCAAAAGCUGGGAGACGAGGCAGGACCAGCUUUAAAAGAAGGCUGUAAGCUCAGACAACAAGUAGCAAAAGAAACACUGACCACUCACAGGCUGGGUAAUUGCAUUCGUUGCUUCUUUUUAUUUCUUGCUCGUCUCCUAGAAAAGAACAACUCUGACUUUGACUUCAUCCUUUCAUUGCAUUAACAUUGACGGGGGACAUGGUCAUUGUCAGGGCUAUGACUUUGCCUGGUGCUCCAUAUACAUUGUUAUCUCAUUCUGUUCUCAUAGCAAUUCUAUAAGGGAUUCAGAACCUGCGGAUGUGGAGGGCCAGAGGGCUGAAUUUGCAAGUUGGGCAAUGGGGAAAGCCUUCACAAAGGAGAAAGCCUUUGGGCUGGAAUUGGAGGAGUAGGAGUCAAUAGAGAGAGAAGAGAGUAAAGGGCAAGGCCAUCAUUCCAGGUUUAGGGAGCAAGUACAAAGACACAGAGAAAUGAAAAGGCUUGGCCUGUUUGGAGAAUGUCAAGCUGUCUGGGGUUGAGAGAAAGACAUUCUAACAAGGCUUCCAUUAAAGAGGCUAGAUUUGCUGCUUGGACAUUUUCUAGCUCUUCUGAGACAACUUUUUGUUGAGUUAAGCGAAAAUGAAUGAAAAUCAGAUGGACCAUAUUUCUCUUGAAUGCACACGGGCUUAAAAACGAAGGGGAAAAAGAACUUGACAGAAUGUGUCUUGGCUUUUGCCAAACCCAAAGUAUUUGAAAAAUCACACAGUACACAUCUCGAACCCAAAAACAUGCCUGGAUUCUACCACCCCUAACUGCAGCUGCAGCCAUUUAAUAAAAUGAAUUGUGUACAAGAAAAUGGGGUCCGAAUGGAGUGAGCUUCAUUAGAGAGAAUGACUGAUGUAGGGCGGUUGGCUGGUGCCCUUGAGAAAGUACAUAUCUCAUUGCCCUUGCAGAGAAAGAGAGAGGCCCAAUGUAGAGCUUUCUAACCACGCUAUUGAAUCAAGCUCUCUUGUAGAGAACAACUAAAACCCCACAUUAUUUAACUUUAUUGUAUCAUGUGUAGGAAGAAUUCAGCAUCUCUUGUUUCUCUCCCACUCUGUUUCUCAGUUUUACACUGUGAAGUAUGACAAUGAAAAGAAACAUGUUUUACAUCAGUCUUGAUUCACAUAAAUGGAUACCAAAUAAGAGAUGGUGG